rnacentral:sRNA from 1 species
GCCAGGUGUGGUGGCUCACACCUGUAAUCCCAGCACUUUGGGAGGCCGAGGUGGGUGGAUCACCUGAGGUCAGGAAUUCAAGACUAGCCUGGCCAACAUGGCGAAACCCUGUCUCUACUAAAAAUACAAAAAUUAGCCAGGCGUGGUGGUGCAUGCCUGUAAUCCCAGCUACUCAGAAAGUUGAGGCACUUUGGGAGGCCGAGGCAGGUGGAUCACCUGAGGUCAGAAGCUCAAGGCCAGCCUGACCAACAUGGUGAAACCCCAUCUCU